GGGGGCGACCUGGUUUCGACGUGGGUGCUGAAACAUCAGGAGCAUUCCGGGGCGCAUGGGGACCUCGUUAAAAACGUGCACUUUGUAAUUGGCAACGAUUACGCACUCGCAGCUUAAUUAAGCAGCGCGGAGCUCACCGAUUCGGACUGUGAUUGGUGAGCACUCCGUCAUAAUGCAGUCUCGGCCGGCGCUGUUUUCUGAGGGGCGCCGGCUUAAGAGUUUCCUUGGGAAGGGGUGAGCCGGAUUUUGUUCUUGGAAGCCGGAACACCCAACUUAAAACAAGAACUAAGAAUGUAGCGCCUGAUCGCGGAUCGCUUGCGGACGAGGGUUCGAUUCCCUCCGCCUCCACCA
rnacentral:tmRNA from 1 species